UACGGGGGGGGCAAGCGUUGUUCGGAAUUACUGGGCGUAAAGGGCUCGUAGGCGGCCAACUAAGUCAGACGUGAAAUCCCUCGGCUUAACCGGGGAACUGCGUCUGAUACUGGAUGGCUAGAGGUUGGGAGAGGGAUGCGGAAUUCCAGGUGUAGCGGUGAAAUGCGUAGAUAUCUGGAGGAACACCGGUGGCGAAGGCGGCAUCCUGGACCAAUACUGACGCUGAGGAGCGAAAGCGUGGGGAGCAAACAGG
rnacentral:rRNA from 1 species